rnacentral:ribozyme from 1 species
UUAAAGUAUACGUGCGAAUAAGGGGAUUUCGCUUCCUGGCGAACGAAACGACAAUGCACUUCUCGACGCAUAACGCAGAUCGGUAACAUAUCUCUCCAAAUAUCUGAGCUUGGGUAUAAGGGAAAACCGAACCCCUUGCGAAGAUCGGUUAUACGGCUAAAUUGUGCGGA